rnacentral:misc_RNA from 1 species
AAAGUCGUAACAAGGUUUCCGUAGGUGAACCUGCGGAAGGAUCAUUACCGAUGCAGAAUCACACUGUGCACGUUCUUGUAGUGGACCAUUCAGUGGCCUGACAUGGGCAUUUGAUGACAAUUUGCCGCCUCUUGAUCUUGACGCCCAGGUUUUGAUUGAAGAGAUCUCUCUUCACGUCCAUAGAUGGCAGCCUUCUCAAUCGUGGGGUGCUCUUUUCAAGAUGGCGAAGCUGGUUAGAUGUCGGAUGCCGUCGUUGCAGGUCAUUUAGUGUCUCCUAUGUCACACAAAACCUGUCAUCGUAUGGUGUUGCACUUAAAAAUGUAAUAUAACUUUCAACAACGGAUCUCUUGGCUCUC